UGGGUAAUCAAUCCCUGGCACCGGGAUAGCCCGAGGAAACUCGGAUUAAUACCGGAUAGCCCCUCCGACUCUCGAGUCGGUCGGGAAAGGUAGCUUAGGCCUCUGGCCCGGGACGAGCCCGCGGCGGAUUAGCUUGUUGGUGGGGUAAUGGCCUACCAAGGCAACGAUCCGUAGCUGGUCUGAGAGGACGAUCAGCCACACUGGGACUGAGACACGGCCCAGACUCCUACGGGAGGCAG
rnacentral:rRNA from 1 species